rnacentral:rRNA from 1 species
UUUGAAGACCAGAUUGUCACGAAAGUGUAACCCACCUUCGUGAUUCCACCCCAUUAUAACUCCGCAAUUAAGUGUCUCAGGCUAGAGUAGUACUGGGAUGGGUGAUCGCUUGGGAAGCCCUAGUGUUUUACAUG